rnacentral:rRNA from 1 species
GUAGGGAAUAUUGGACAAUGGGGGGAACCCUGAUCCAGCCAUGCCGCGUGUGUGAAGAAGGCCUUUUGGUUGUAAAGCACUUUAAGCGAGGAGGAGGCUACUUGGAUUAAUACUCUAGGAUAGUGGACGUUACUCGCAGAAUAAGCACCGGCUAACUCUGUGCCAGCAGCCGCGGUAAUACAGAGGGUGCGAGCGUUAAUCGGAUUUACUGGGCGUAAAGCGUGCGUAGGCGGCUUCUUAAGUCGGAUGUGAAAUCCCUGAGCUUAACUUAGGAAUUGCAUUCGAUACUGGGAAGCUAGAGUAUGGGAGAGGAUGGUAGAAUUCCAGGUGUAGCGGUGAAAUGCGUAGAGAUCUGGAGGAAUACCGAUGGCGAAGGCAGCCAUCUGGCCUAAUACUGACGCUGAGGUACGAAAGCAUGGGGAGCAAACAGGAUUAGAUACCCGGGUAGUCC